UACAGAGGGGGCAAGCGUUGUUCGGAAUUACUGGGCGUAAAGGGCGCGUAGGCGGCCUGUUAAGUCGGACGUGAAAUCCCUCGGCUCAACCGGGGAACUGCGUCCGAUACUGGCGGGCUUGAAUUCGGGAGAGGGAUGUGGAAUUCCAGGUGUAGCGGUGAAAUGCGUAGAUAUCUGAAGGAACAUCAGUGGCGAAAGCGACUUCCUGGACCAAUACUGACGCUCAUGUGCGAAAGCGUGGGGAGCAAACAGG
rnacentral:rRNA from 1 species